rnacentral:rRNA from 1 species
CCAGGCGACGACCGGCGCACGGGCGAGUAUCGCGUUUGUAACCUACCUUUAACUGGAAGAUAGCCCGAAGAAAUUCGGAUUAAUAUUCCAUAAUACUAUAGUUUGGCAUCAUUUUAUAGUUAAAGCUCCGGCGGUUAAAGAUGGGCAUGCGUAACAUUAGCUAGUUGGUGAGGUAACUGCUCACCAAGGCUACGAUGUUUAGGGGGUCUGAGAGGAUGGUCCCCCACACUGGUACUGAGACACGGACCAGACUCCUACGGGAGGCAGCAGUGAGGAAUAUUGGUCAAUGGGCGAAAGCCUGAACCAGCCAUGCCGCGUGAAGGAUGACGGCCCUAUGGGUUGUAAAACUUCUUUUAUACGGGAAGAAACCGUCCUACGUGUAGGGCGUUGACGGUACCGUACGAAUAAGCAUCGGCUAACUCCGUGCCAGCAGCCGCGGUAAAUACGGAGGAUGCAAGCGUUAUCCGGAUUUAUUGGGUUUAAAGGGUGCGUAGGCGGAAAUUUAAGUCAGUGAUGAAAUUCCUGCGGCUCAACCGUAGGAACUGUUAUUGAUACUUGAAUUUCUUGAAUACAGGUUGAGGUAGGCGGAAUGAAGUAAUGUAACGGUGAAAUGCUUAGAUAUUACUCAGAAACACCGAUCGCGAAGGCAGCUUUACUCAACUGAUAUGAACGCUGAGGCACGAAAGCUUGGGGAUCGAACAGGAUUAGAUACCCUUGGUAGUCCACGCCGUAAACGAUGAUCACUCGUUGUUGGCAAUACACCGUCAGCGACUGAGCGAAAGCAUUAAGUGAUCCACCUGGGGAGUACGAUCGCAAGAUUGAAACUCAAAGGAAUUGACGUGGGCCCGCACAAGCGGAGGAACAUGUGGUUUAAUUCGAUGAUACGCGAGGAACCUUACCUGGGCUUAAAUGUAGAGCGACGGACCGGGAAACUGGUCUUUCUUCGGACGAUCUACAAGGUGCUGCAUGGCUGUCGUCAGCUCGUGCCGUGAGGUGUCGGGUUAAGUCCCAUAACGAGCGCAACCCUCAUCAUUAGUUGCCAGCGGGUAAUGCCGGGGACUCUAAUGAAACUGCCGGUGUAAACCGAGAGGAAGGUGGGGAUGACGUCAAGUCAGCACGGCCCUUAUGUCCAGGGCUACACACGUGUUACAAUGGUCAGUACAAAGGGCAGCUACCAUGCGAAUGGAUGCUAAUCUCGAAAACUGGUCUCAGUUCGGAUCGGAGUCUGCAACUCGACUUCGUGAAGUUGGAUUCGCUAGUAAUCGCGCAUCAGCCACGGCGCGGUGAAUACGUUCCCGGGCCUUGUACACACCGCCCGUCAAGCC